rnacentral:rRNA from 1 species
AUUGAACGCUGGCGGCAGGCCUAACACAUGCAAGUCGAGCGGAUGAAGGGAGCUUGCUCCUGGAUUCAGCGGCGGACGGGUGAGUAAUGCCUAGGAAUCUGCCUGGUAGUGGGGUAUAACGUCCGGAAACGGGCGCUAAUACCGCAUACGUCCUGAGGGAGAAAGUGGGGGAUCUUCGGACCUCACGCUAUCAGAUGAGCCUAGGUCGGAUUAGCUAGUUGGUGGGGUAAAGGCCUACCAAGGCGACGAUCCGUAACUGGUCUGAGAGGAUGAUCAGUCACACUGGAACUGAGACACGGUCCAGACUCCUACGGGAGGCAGCAGUGGGGAAUAUUGGACAAAGGGCGAAAGCCUGAUCCAGCCAUGCCGCGUGUGUGAAGAAGGUCUUCGGAUUGUAAAGCACUUUAAGUUGGGAGGAAGGGCAGUAAGUUAAUACCUUGCUGUUUUGACGUUACCAACAGAAUAAGCACCGGCUAACUUCGUG